GAUGAACGCUGGCGGCGUGCCUAAUACAUGCAAGUCGAGCGAACAGACGAGGAGCUUGCUCCUCUGACGUUAGCGGCGGACGGGUGAGUAACACGUGGAUAACCUACCUAUAAGACUGGGAUAACUUCGGGAAACCGGAGCUAAUACCGGAUAAUAUAUUGAACCGCAUGGUUCAAUAGUGAAAGACGGUUUUGCUGUCACUUAUAGAUGGAUCCGCGCCGCAUUAGCUAGUUGGUAAGGUAACGGCUUACCAAGGCAACGAUGCGUAGCCGACCUGAGAGGGUGAUCGGAGACACUGGAACUGAGACACGGUACAGACUCCUACGGGAGGCAGCAGUAGGGAAUCUUCCGCAAUGGGCGAAAGCCUGACGGAGCAACGCCGCGUGAGUGAUGAAGGUCUUCGGAUCGUAAAACUCUGUUAUUAGGGAAGAACAAAUGUGUAAGUAACUAUGCACGUCUUGACGGUACCUAAUCAGAAAGCCACGGCUAACUACGUG
rnacentral:rRNA from 1 species